rnacentral:rRNA from 1 species
UACAGAGGUCUCAAGCGUUGUUCGGAUUCAUUGGGCGUAAAGGGUGCGUAGGCGGCGCGGUAAGUCGGGUGUGAAAUCUCGGACUUAACUCCGAAACUGCAUUCGAUACUGCCGUGCUUGAGGACUGGAGAGGAGACUGGAAUUUACGGUGUAGCGGUGAAAUGCGUAGAUAUCGUAAGGAAGACCAGUGGCGAAGGCGGGUCUCUGGACAGUUCCUGACGCUGAGGCACGAAGGCCAGGGGAGCAAACGGG